AACUAAAUUAUGGGUGAAACUGCAAAUGGCUCAUUACAACGGUUAUGACGUGCCCGGGAUCUCCGAUGGAUAUUUCCAGUAACACUAGAACUAAUACAUGUAUCUGCGUUUAUUAGUUUCAAACAAAUCUGUCGCUGAGUCAUGGUAAACGGUUGAUCGACUCGACGUCCCGGAACGGUUUCCGCCCCAUCAGCUUCGAUGGUUGGGUAUUGGCCUACCAUUGCAACAACGGGUAACGAGGAAUUAGGGUUUGAUUUCGGAGAGGGAGCCUGAGAAACGGCUACCACAUCUACGGAUGGCAGCAGGCGCGCAAAUUACCCAAUGCAGACACUGUGAGGUAGUAACGAGAAAUAAUAAAGUGAUGCUAUUGUAUCGCUAUUAUAAUGAGGAAUACUUAAAAACCAUUCCUAUUAGCAACUGAUGGGAAAGUCUGGUGCCAGCAGCCGCGGUAAUACCAGCUUCAGUAGCAUAUAUUAAAAUUGUUGCAGUUAAAACGUCCGUAGUCUGUACGUCGUCGUAGACCAUACUAUAGCUCUGGAUUUUUUUAACUAAAAGUCCAGAUGUGUGUAGUUACUCCCUUGAUCAAAUUAGAUUGCUCAAGGUAGACCAAGUCUUCAUAUUUUCACAUGGAAUUGGGUGAGGGAACUUAAGAGGUUAAGUUUCUCGUCUUAGGAUCAUCCGGGGUCAUUCGUACUCGUCCGCGAGAGGUGAAAUUUUUGGACCGGACGAAGACGAUCAGCAGCGAAAGCAUCUGUCAGGGAUGUUUUCUGCGACAAAGGACGAAGGUCAGGGUAUCGAAGACGAUCAGAUACCGUCGUAGUCCUGACUGUAACUAUGCCGACUUGGGUCUUGCAGAGUAAUUACUUUGUGAGACCCACACAGAAAUGAAAGUGUAUGGGUUCUGGGGGUAGUAUGGACACAAGUCUGAAACUUGAAGGAAUUGAC
rnacentral:rRNA from 1 species